rnacentral:rRNA from 1 species
CCCUUUGUUUAUUACACUUUGUUGCUUUGGCAGGCCUGCCCUCGGGCUGCUGGCUCCGGCCGGCGAGCGCUUGCCAGAGGACCUAAACUCUGUUUGUCUAUACUGUCUGAGUACUAUAUAAUAGUUAAAACUUUCAACAACGGAUCUCUUGGUUCUGGCAUCGAUGAAGAACGCAGCGAAAUGCGAUAAGUAAUGUGAAUUGCAGAAUUCAGUGAAUCAUCGAAUCUUUGAACGCACAUUGCGCCCCCUGGUAUUCCGGGGGGCAUGCCUGUCCGAGCGUCAUUACAACCCUCAAGCUCAGCUUGGUAUUGGGCCCCGCCGACCCGGCGGGCCCUAAAGUCAGUGGCGGUGCCGUCCGGCUCCGAGCGUAGUAAUUCUUCUCGCUCUGGAGGUCCGGUCGUGUGCUCGCCAGCAACCCCCAAUUUUUUUCAGGUUGACCUCGGAUCAGGUAGGGAUACCCGCUGAACUUAAGCAUAU